rnacentral:rRNA from 1 species
UACGGGGGGGGCAAGCGUUGUUCGGAAUUACUGGGCGUAAAGGGCUCGUAGUUGGCCAACUAAGUCAGACGUGAAAUCCCUCGGCUUAACCGGGGAACUGCGUCUGAUACUGGAUGGCUAGAGUUUGGGAGAGGGAUGCGGAAUUCCAGGUGUAGCGGUGAAAUGCGUAGAUAUCUGGAGGAACACCGAUGGCGAAGGCAGCCCCCUGGGUUAACACUGACGCUCAUGCACGAAAGCGUGGGGAGCAAACAGG